ACCUGUAUUGUCAAUUAUGCCAUCCAUGCAGCUCGCGUGAAGAGCACACACAGAUCCGCAACGAAAACAGUCGUAAAACUCGGAAUUGACUCGUAAAAACUACAAUACAAACGACAACACAACACUUCAGCUACUUGCAGCUGUAAACCCAUCAUUGGGGUCGUAAAAAAUCAAAGUUUUUCCAAAAUUCUGCCAUGUGAAUAACGGAGAAUACCCGAGGUCAGCAGCGCUGAGCAGUAAAAAGGAGACAGUAACAAUGGGACAUUAUGGAAGGGGAUCAACGAGCGCACCAAUGGCAAUUGGAUCCGUCACGGCGCCCACUAAAAGCUAUGCGCGAGAGAUCCGAAGUGUGCCGCUUCACAUCGUUUCCACACACAUUCGGGCACCCCACUCCGUGCAGUGGUCUCACUCGCUCCGAGCCGCAGCAGGAAUUACUGCGAGUGCGGCACACGUCUAGCGCCCUCUUUGGUACAAUCGCCCAACUCCAAGACCUCAGAAGAGCGUCGUCGUCCAAACGAGCAACAUCAUGGGCCCACAAUCGCGAUCGCAAACGUUUAUGAACCUGCGCGCAGGAAUAUGCCCGCCCAAAAUUGCCCAUUGAACUUAAAUUUCUGUAAUUCAACGCCGCAAAACCGCCUUGGCGAAUGGAAAUGAUUUCAUCACAUCACUUGAAUCCCUGCAACUGAAUUGUUUAGACGUUUGCUCGCAUUAGCAGAAUUCCACAAUGUGGCGAUAAAAUUAACCAGCAAUAAAAAUAAAGCCGCGUGCACGGCACACGGUCGUGAGGUCGUUCCGCGGCCCGUCUUAAAGGUGUCUUGUAAAUGUUUACACAAAUGAAUCGAAAUGCCUGCGCCGCGGCUCAUAAAGUGAGGUAGUGAACAAGACAAUAAAAUAAUCGUAAAAUGAAAUAUAAAACGCCAAUAAAAAGCCAAAGAAACGACUUCAUUUAAUACGCAUAAAACUGCUCCGGCUCGAGGAUGACUGGAGCGCGCGCGCGCGGCUCACGAUAAUGUCGGGAUUAUUAACUGCCAUUUAACAAGGUCGUAAAAAGAUUUCGAUGUGUCUUUUCUGUGUAUGUGCGGGUUUUGAAUGUGUCGUAAAUUAUUCGGAAUGACGGCGAGCAAACAGUCUCAAGUCCAUCGCUGAAUUUGACAUUUUCUAGACAUUUGGUAGACAUUUUACAACAUUUUAUAGCAACCAGAAAGUUACCAGAGCAAAAUUUUGACAUCUAUUGCGGCUUUUCAGUGCUUUAACUACUGUUGAUGCUAAGUGACGUUUAUGACCACUUGAGAUGGUUGUAAAAAUAAGCUUAAUGAUCAAUUAAAGAAAUUGAAUACAUAAUGACCGAAGUUAAGAGCCAUAACUAAUCAAAUUGACAGUGGACCAAAGCGGGUACCACCCACAUUCAGUAAAUUUGAUAUUUCAAGCGCCAUGUUCAAUUUUAAUGAUCAAGAUCAAUAUACAUUUGUGGGUUAUGGUUAUUUAUACUGCAGAACAUGUUGAUACUACCGGGUGACAUUUACGAUCACUUAAAACGGCACUAAAAAUCUCACUUACAACAUGAAAUCAUAGUGUGGCUUGCCGCACAGUAGCAAUAAAAUGUAUUACCUUCCCUUUUUCGUUCUGGUUUCAGUUACUCACAAGAGCGCCGCUAAAAGUCACAAAUUUUAGCAACAAUGCAUGGGAAUUUUAGAAGAUCUUCCAUCUUGAGCUUCGGGGAGAUACCUGCACGUCACAUGAUAUGGGGUCGGUCACAUAACUGCCAUUACAAGCACUACCAUAACUGCAACCAUCGCCCCAACUGGUUCGACGCACCAUUACGGACUACUCAAUUGGUUACGGCAUAUUUUAUUGACUUUUUAAAAAGGGAGCUCGGUGAAAAGAUUGAGAGGAUUCUGUGGUAUUCUCUACUCCCAGGAUAAACUAGUAACCGACAUAAAAUUGAAACAAAAUGGGGGAUAUAAAUAGAUACAGGAAAUUUAUGCGAUUAUAUUCAAGAUUUUCAUGGAUGAUGGGAUGAGUGUUAAGGGUAGUGGCGCCUCUCAUGGAAGAAUAGCAGAAGUUGGACACGCAGGCGUUGGAAACGAGCGGGGUCGGAUCGUUCGCCGGGCGCAAGCCCGAUGAGGACUGGUUCUGCGCGCAGGCCGUGAAGCAACGCGCACCGAAUGCGCGGAAAAACAUUUACAAUCAAUACAAUGGUAGUUUUAUGGUCAAUAAGAAGUCGUUGGCGCACGCUGCGAACGACCAACGGAACGAGCCACCGAAAUCGUUUCGCCGCCGCGCAAACGCCCCACGUUCCACCAACACCACCAGGCUACAAAUUCUAAAAUAGAAAAACUUUAUAUUGUAACAAAAUAACACAUAUCUAUAUCUAAGUAUUAAGUAUAACUAGCUUGAAGAAAAGUAGUAGGUAAUAAUAAUGUAUGAUGAAAA